UACCUUAGUAAGUAGGUAUAGGUAUGAUAAGAUUAAUGUUGAUUAUGUAGAUAAUAAAUAGUACUGACCAAAAUAAUUGUACAGUUUAGAUAUUAAGGUUAAUAUUGGGUAAAUGCCUUUUUAUUACCGUAAAGAUGCUUUAUUUUUGUAGAUAUUUUAAUGAUAUGUAAGUGGAUGUUGGUAGAAAUAGCAAGGAAAGGCCUGGAUUAUGGAAUUGGAAUGAACUCACGGUAAUCUCUGGUUGUUGUAGUUGCUUAGUUUGGUGAUAUCAUGGCUUGUGUACAUAAUUUCUUUGAUGAUGGCUUUCCUUUGCCUGAGGUGGUUGAAAACACUGUGUGACUCUGACGUGGAUGGGCUCGAUGCGGAGAUUGUAUGAUUCCCGUAGCUUGCCACUUAUGCCCACGCAGGAUUGAAUGCCUUUUGGUUGAUAUUACUGUGACACUGACGUGGAUGGGCGCGGUGCGGAGGUUGUAGGAUUCCCGUAACUUUGCCACUUAAGCCCACGCAGGAUUUAAUGCUUGAAAUAAAUGCAGAUUGUAGGUGCUGCUUUGAGUUGAUGAUUGAUGCAGAUUAUAGGUGCUGCUGUAGAAUGCAGAUUAUAGGUGCUGCUGUAGAAUUCCUCUCCUUUGGUGGAUUUGUUUGACCGCAAGGUAACCUCCGUUGCCGGCGUAGGCGCAAGUUGAAUCCGGUUCGACAGGAACAAUGUUACGGCGGCUAUAUUGGUCGGGAUCCUUUGGUCAGGUUCAAUAAAAACAGCUUAGUCUUCACUUAUGUGCGUGUAUUGACUUUAAUUGAUGAUUAAAAUAGAUUAUUUUUGCGUGAAGCGCUGUUCGAGGUAAAAAGUUAAAGAAGAAUAUGGCGGCUGCCAGAGACAAUUGAAAACACAGACGAUGACGUUUGGUUUCUGCUAUCGCCGAUCUCGCAUGCUCAGAAUACUCCGUACGUUGCGUUUCGUUUCUUCAUCAAGGUACAGUAAGGGGCAGAGAAACCUGACCCCCGUCAGCUAGUCUAUUUUCUAUCUCGGGUGUCAUGGAUUCGCGAUUUCCAACCGUAUAAAUCUAUUAUGGAUUUCUAACCGUCUUUUGGCAUCGGCUAUCUCGGUCAUGAUCACUAAACGAAUAGUGGGUAUGAGAUUUAUCGAUACACUAGAGGUUGCAAAAAGUUUGUGAAAAUAUUCUGUGAUUUGGUUAGCCGACUAAAUGAAAAAGUCAUUUCACUUCAAACUACGACUACUGCAUUUAUCAAAUCUUUAAUUUGCCGCAUUAUUUAGAAAAAUGGCGAUACUGGAAGCUAUUGUCAAAUGAUUGUCAAAACAAACUGCAAGGAACCAUCCAAAACAGAGAUUGAUUUUGGUGUGUGUUUUUUUAUAAUUACCUGACUCCUGUGUUUUAAUUGUUCAUUAUAUCUAAGGAUGGCGCCUUUAAGAAAAGUCUCAGAUCGACAAAUGGACAUUUUGUUGGAGUUCGUUGAAAGACAUAAAGAGCUUGCUGUUGGCCGGUACCCACACCCGGCCCACUAGGCAUACAAUCAGCACGUCGGCUAUAGGACAGUGCAGCAUUACAAUUAUAUGAAUUAUAUUCAAUUGGGUCUGGAGUUACAAAAACUGGUCAAAAAUUCUGACGGGCAUUCACAUGUAAAGUGGCAAUGUGCAAUGCAGUGCAGAAAAAAUAUUUUAAUAAUGAUUAUAGUAAGACUAGUAGAAGCAAAAUGUGAUAUGUAGUUAUGUGAUUUAAAAUAAAAAUAAAAGCCAUUAAUAUAAAAUGUGUUUUUUAUUACUAAAUUAUACAUAUACAGCAAAAAUCAGCCUAUCAGAGUCAGGUUAUUUUAGUUCCUUCAAAUUCACAGCCUGGACAAGGUUGGCCCUCAUGCGCCCUGCAUCUGCAUCAG